rnacentral:rRNA from 1 species
AGUGAACGCUGGCGGUAGGCCUAACACAUGCAAGUCGAACGGCAGCACAGUAAGAGCUUGCUCUUACGGGUGGCGAGUGGCGGACGGGUGAGGAAUACAUCGGAAUCUACUUUUUCGUGGGGGAUAACGUAGGGAAACUUACGCUAAUACCGCAUACGACCUACGGGUGAAAGCAGGGGAUCUUCGGACCUUGCGCGAUUGAAUGAGCCGAUGUCGGAUUAGCUAGUUGGCGGGGUAAAGGCCCACCAAGGCGACGAUCCGUAGCUGGUCUGAGAGGAUGAUCAGCCACACUGGAACUGAGACACGGUCCAGACCCCUACGGGAGGAAGCAGUGGGGAAUAUUGGACAAUGGGCGCAAGCCUGAUCCAGACAUACCGCGGGGGUGAAGAAGGCCUUCGGGUUGUAAGCCCUUUUGUUGGGAAAGAAAAGCAGCAGGUUAAUACCCCGCUGUUCUGACGGUACCCAAAGAAUAAGCACCGGCUAACUUCGUG